AAUCAACUAAUUAAAAAUUUAUAAUUAUGGAAAAAAAAACAAUUUUUGUUUCAAAUGAAUAUUUUUUCAAAUAAUUGCGCGAUUGUAAACCCGUGCGCGCUUUUGCUCAUCGGAAAAUGCCGGAUUUGCUGACACGUGGCGCCAUCCUAUACGCAUUUAUUUAGUAUGUGUAUAUGCUACAUUCAUUACUUUAUUUCAUUAAUAUUUUCGUUUUCAAGUUGGUUUGAACGCCGCUGGGUUGGAUCCAGCAACAGGCGAUCCCAUUAAACGAUUAAACGAUAAUGUAUUACAAGCGACUUAAACGACAAUUACGUGGCAAUUCAAAUUAUUUUAUUGUAUUUAUUUAUUUAUUUAUUUUUUUUUUUUAAAGAAUACCAAUUGUAUUGAUGUUUGGGAUUUGAAACAAAUGAAUUUAUUAAAAGAACUAUAAAAUGUGAUUGGUGGUUGACUCAGCGAGAUCUGCAGAACUCGAUACUAACGCAGAGUGUGCAAACUCAAGCACUUUGACUUGACUCGGGCACAUGUUGUGCCAAGUCAGGGAAAACGCAAGCAUCCGUAUGAAUAAAAAAAACGAUAAAGAAAAUAAACGAGAGAAGAUAAAGAGAGAUAAAGAUGAGGAAGGAUUAGAGUAUACAAAAAUAACCGGAGAUUAAAUUCUUGCAAUGACAAGUGAGAAAUAGUUAAUUAUCCGGAAGUGUGGUAAUGAAUAUAAGUUGAUCUGGCAUUAUAAAAUAGAAAUUCAAUUGUGGAGUAGCAUAAAUAUAUAAACUGCAGGUGUAGCAGGAGAGUUUUUCCAGGUUUACAGGGGUGAGGGCUGAGAGGUAAAGCAUCAAGCUUGGAAUUAAGAGGGGAGAUAGCCGUCCAGUACGAGGGCGAAGUUAUCCAAUUAUUGUCUAACCAGGGAGCAACUUUGCUUCACCAACUGAGAGAGUGAGAAAGUAAAAGGGAGAGAGUAAGAGAGGGAGCCCACUCGCUAGUUAGAGGGCAUGAGGAAAGAGAUUUACCCCUACUAUACCGUCAUCAGCAUUCUGCCACCCCCGUAGCGGCAAUAAACUAAAAGUUUGUUCUCGGUACUUGUUUCGUUACAUUCUACCAGGACAAACUUUAUACGGUACUUGUAGAUUAAUAUCACUGACACGGACCCGCUGGCUGGACAACUGGAUAUACCGAAAGACUUUAAACGAGUAGUGAUAGUAGUAGUAGUUAACGAAAAAAUAAAAUGAAAUAAACUAAGGUAAGGUAAAGAGGCAGGGUACCGACUACUUAAAGUUUGCGGAAAGUUUAGUUUGGCAGCAAAGUUAACUCAGUUGAGUUCUCUCGCUAAAGCAAAACUUUACUUCUCCCACUCUCUUUCCUCAUGACUCUUUUCUAAAUCGAAAGCGUAAUUCUCUGGCCGUUAUAGAGACACGUCACGGGAUAUAUGUCUUUGUUGUUUUUUUUUUUUUUAUUUUAUUUUAUUUUUUUAAAUUCUCAAUUACAAUGUCCCCGACAUAAUGACGGAGUGUUUAAACAAAGACUACUAUAUAAAUAUAUAAUGACGUAGCGGGACAUAACAUAUACAGCAGGGUGAGAUUAAGUGUGAAAAACAUAAAAGGUUGUAUUUGGGAGUAAAGAAUAGACGGUAGUGUAACGCGUUGAGAGAAGUACAUAUACAUAGUAAAGCCUGAUACUUUGAUGGAGUUUCUCGUGGUGGAAUGGCAUCUUGACUCAUAGUAUAGUUGAGUGUGGCAAGCAAUGGCCGGCCCGAUCGAUGUCCCGGCAACUUCCCACCCUCGACAGUCGGUGUAGCUCGUCGUCGUCGUCGUCGUAGUCUCUCCCUCUUUUACUCUCUACUAUUUCUCUCUCACUCACUCUCUCUUUAUACUCUUCACUCUUCUCUCAUCGCUCUUCGCCCUUCUCACAUCCUAGCCUGUUCCGCCAUCGGCCCCUCCUCACCCAGACUCUUCCGCGAAAUCCCGGAGAGCUGCUUACCGCUCGAUUCUGUUUACAAUGGAUGCGCUACCCUUCCAUUACAUAUAACUAACUCAUAUAUACAUAUAUAUGUGUACAUACAAUAUGCCAUUCCAUUCGCAUUUAUGCUCUUCUCAUGUAGCUGCACUCCCUCUCUCUCUCUCUCAUCUCAACUGAGUUUACGUAAAGACGGGAAAGUAGGUAAGCACAGAACUGAGGAGCAAGUAUAUAACGGCGACCAAAUAGCCGUAGGGAGGUGAAUAAUAGUGAUGGUGAUGACUAUCCGUGGUUUAAUGUCUUUGAGAGGUUGUCUCAGGUCAGUUAGCCUGCAUAAAAGAAACUGAAAGAGCACGCAUCAGUAGCAAAAAAAAAAUCACUUCGUUUUCUCUUUUUUUUUAUAAUGAAGAGGAUGGAAAAAUUAGUUAGUCAAUCGAAAUGUAUAAAUGAAAAUGUGUACCAGAAGAUCGGAACGUUUUUCGCGAAACAGAAAAUGAAAAAAAAAAUUACUGGAUCUAGAUUUCCGGAAUGUCGCAUGAGUGCUGGUCAGCCGAAAAUUGCAGCCACUCCAAAUUAGCCCCAGUCACCUUAAGCAGCAAAAUAACAAAUUUUUUAAAUUAUCAUUGCGUGAAAAACGUUUUGAUCUUCAGGUACAUAAUGAAAAUAAUAUCAGGAUAAUUACAUUAUCACAAGUACUCUCUGAGAGGAUAUGAAUUGAGUAAAGAUAUUGAUGAUUAAUACAAAAUGAUAAAGGGCGAGGGCACCUGUUACAACUUAAAUCGUUUAUAAAGAAACGUUAAAACAGUUGCGGAAGCAUUAUCUCCGCCGGAUAUAUUCAAACUCUAUCUCUUUCUCGUUAAUGCUUACUCUCUGAUAUAACCUCCGGAAGCUGUUCUGAUAAAAUUUAUACACCAUCUCAAUAAGGCUAUUUUUUUUUUUUUUUAAUAUCAAUAUAAUUCCUAAGGGUUAAAUAUUUUUUUUAAAAUUUAUGCUACAAACUUUUUUCAUUAUCGAUUGACCAACUUUUGUACCGUAUUAUUGUUAUUGUAUAAAGUUUUAAUGUCCAUUGUUACGCUGAUAUUUUUCUUUAAAAAAAUCUAAAAUGUAUCAUAUAUAUAAAAGUAAUAAAAUAACAUAAGUAUGAAGAAAAAAAAAAUGUUGCGUAGCAAAUGCAGGUCAGUUCAUUGCUGAAUAAGCAGUUACCGUUGUCACCCGGUGUUGUUGUCGUCGUCAACGUCGUCGUCUACGUUGAGUAAAUUACGUAAGGCCAGUGUAGUAUAGAACAAGAGCUUGUUUGAAUACUAAAGGCUUUCCUCGUUUUAGCCACUAGUGUUUCACUGGGUUGCAAUAAGAGUAUGCUGGGUAUGCUAUAUAAUAUAUGUACAUGCUGAUCUAAACACAUUUAUAAAUGCGCGGGUACACGCAAUAGUCUGUACAUGUAUAGCAGUAUGUACACAUAUAUACAUAUUAUUAUAUAUAUAUAUAUAUAACAGUAGUUGAUACUGAAGCAAGUGAAGAGAAGAGAGGAACAAACUUGAAACUUGGUUUUAUAGUGGGGGAGAUUCAAUGAAGGGUAAAGCAAGUGCGACAUUGUGCCACUCAAGUGGCGUUUAUUUUGCGUUUAGUUUGGCGAAAGUUACGCAAAGAUUUAUCCGAGGUCACCAUUAUCCAGUUUCGAGUUUAAAUGAGAUCUAGGCUACUUCGCUGUGUAUAGAGCAAUCUUUUUAACGAUCAACGUUGCUUUGACCUUUAACCUUUACAUUUUCAAUAAAUACAUACAUAUAUGUAUAUAUAUAUUUUAUAUUUAUACAUAUAUGUACAUGACAUGAGUUCAUGUGCACUAAAUACCGGAGUAAUAAAUUUCCAAUAUAUCAUUUUUAUUUUUAUAAUAGAUUUAUGGUUUAGUGGAAUAAACUUUUUAUUUAUG